rnacentral:rRNA from 1 species
CCUACGGUGGCAGCAGUGGGGAAUAUUGGACAAUGGGCGAAAGCCUGAUCCAGCCAUGCCGCGUGUGUGAAGAAGGCCUUCGGGUUGUAAAGCACUUUCAGUGGGGAAGAAAGCCUUGGGGCUAAUACCCUCGAGGAAGGACAUCACCCACAGAAGAAGCACCGGCUAACUCCGUGCCAGCAGCCGCGGUAAUACGGAGGGUGCGAGCGUUAAUCGGAAUUACUGGGCGUAAAGCGCGCGUAGGCGGUCUGAUAAGCCGGUUGUGAAAGCCCCGGGCUCAACCUGGGAACGGCAUCCGGAACUGUCAGGCUAGAGUGCAGGAGAGGAAGGUAGAAUUCCCGGUGUAGCAGUGAAAUGCGUAGAGAUCGGGAGGAAUACCAGUGGCGAAGGCGGCCUUCUGGACUGACACUGACGCUGAGGUGCGAAAGCGUGGGUAGCAAACAGGAUUAGAUACCCGGGUAGUC